UACGGAGGGGGCAAGCGUUAUCCGGAUUCACUGGGUUUAAAGGGUGCGUAGGUGGGUCUGUAAGUCAGUGGUGAAAUCUCCGAGCUUAACUUGGAAACUGCCAUUGAUACUAUAGAUCUUGAAUACCGUGGAGGUCAGCGGAAUAUGUCAUGUAGCGGUGAAAUGCUUAGAUAUGACAUAGAACACCAAUGGCGAAGGCAGCUGGCUAGACGAAUAUUGACACUGAGGCACGAAAGCGUGGGGAUCAAACAGG
rnacentral:rRNA from 1 species